CCUACGGGUGGCAGCAGUGAGGAAUAUUGGUCAAUGGCCGAGAGGCUGAACCAGCCAAGUCGCGUGAGGGACGAAUGUCCUAUGGAUUGUAAACCUCUUUUGUCAGGGAGCAAAGUCACCCACGUGUGGGUGUUUGAGUGUACCUUACGAAUAAGCAUCGGCUAACCCCGUGCCAGCCGCCGCGGUAAUACGGGGGAUGCGAGCGUUAUCCGGAUUUAUGGGGUUAAAAGGGUGUGUAGGCGGGUUAUCAAGUUAGCGGUAAAAACGUGGAGCUCAACUCCAUCCAGCCGUUGAAACUGAUGAUCUUGAGUGGGCGAGAGGUAUGCAGAAUGCGUGGUGUAGCGGUGAAAUGCAUAGAUAUCACGAAGAACUCCGAUAGCGAAGGCAGCAUACCGGCGCGCGACUGACGCUGAAGCACGAAAGCGUGGGUAUCGAACAGGAUUAGAUACCCUAGUAGUC
rnacentral:rRNA from 1 species